GACAGAGGGUGCAAACGUUGCUCGGAAUCACUGGGCGUAAAGCGUGCGCAGGCGGUUUUGUAAGCCAGAUGUGAAAUCCCCGGGCUCAACCUGGGAAUGGCAUUUGGGACUGCAAGGCUUGAGUGCGGCAGAGGAGACUGGAAUUCCUGGUGUAGCAGUGAAAUGCGCAGAUAUCAGGAGGAACACCGGUGGCGAAGGCGGGUCUCUGGGCCGAUACUGACGCUGAGGAGCGAAAGCGUGGGGAGCGAACAGG
rnacentral:rRNA from 1 species